rnacentral:rRNA from 1 species
GUGGGGAAUAUUGGACAAUGGGCGAAAGCCUGAUCCAGCCAUGCCGCGUGUGUGAAGAAGGUCUUCGGAUUGUAAAGCACUUUAAGUUGGGAGGAAGGGCAGUAAGUUAAUACCUUGCUGUUUUGACGUUACCAACAGAAUAAGCACCGGCUAACUUCGUGCCAGCAGCCGCGGUAAUACGAAGGGUGCAAGCGUUAAUCGGAAUUACUGGGCGCAAAGCGCGCGUAGGUGGUUCAGCAAGUUGGAGGUGAAAUCCCCGGGCUCAACCUGGGAACUGCCUCCAAAACUGCAUGACUAGAGUACGGUAGAGGGUAGUGGAAUUUCCUGUGUAGCGGUGAAAUGCGUAGAUAUAGGAAGGAACACCAGUGGCGAAGGCGACUACCUGGACUGAUACUGACACUGAGGUGCGAAAGCGUGGGGAGCAAACAGGAUUAGAUACCCCAGUAGUCC